GAUGAAGAACGCAGCGAAAUGCGAUAAGUAAUGCGAAUUGCAGAAUCCGUGAAUCAUCGAAUCUUUGAACGCACAUUGCGCCCCUUGGUAUUCCUUGGGGCAUGCCUGUUCGAGCGUCAUCUAAACCUUCAAGCCCUGCUUGGUGUUGGGUGCCUGUCCCGCCCCCGCGCGUGGACUCACCUCAAAUCCAUUGGCGGCCCCCGCGUCGGCCACGAGCGCAGCAGAAACGCGAACUCGUGGGCCCGUCCGGGCGGCUCCCAGAAGCUACACCCACCCCUUUUGACCUCGGAUCAGGUAGGGAUACCCGCUGAACUUAAGCAUAUCAAUAAGCGGAGGA
rnacentral:misc_RNA from 1 species